UACGUAAGCAGCAAGCGUUGUUCGGAAUUACUGGGCGUAAAGAGUGCGUAGGCGGUUCUUGAAGUCCGCUGUGAAAGCCCCGGGCUUAACCUGGGAAUGGCAGUGGAAACUGGAGGACUUGAAUUGAGCAGAGGGGGGUGGAAUGCCGCGUGUAGCAGUGAAAUGCGUAGAGAUGCGGCGGAACACCGAUGGCGAAGGCAGCCCCCUGGGCUUAAAUUGACGCUGAGGCACGAAAGCGUGGGGAGCAAACAGG
rnacentral:rRNA from 1 species